GAUGAACGCUAGCGGCAGGCUUAACACAUGCAAGUCGAGGGGUAUGCUUCUUCGGAAGCAGAGACCGGCGCACGGGUGCGUAACGCGUAUGCAAUCUACCUUUUACAGAGGGAUAGCCCAGAGAAAUUUGGAUUAAUACCUCAUAGUAUUAUAGAAUGGCAUCAUUUUAUAAUUAAAGUCACAACGGUAAAAGAUGAGCAUGCGUCCCAUUAGCUAGUUGGAAGGUAACGGCUUACCAAGGCUACGAUGGGUAGGGGUCCUGAGAGGGAGAUCCCCCACACUGGUACUGAGACACGGACCAGACUCCUACGGGAGGCAGCAGUGAGGAAUAUUGGACAAUGGGCGCAAGCCUGAUCCAGCCAUGCCGCGUGCAGGAUGACGGUCC
rnacentral:rRNA from 1 species